GUAGGCUGAAAUUCGCCUACAUGAAGCCGGAAUUGCUAGUAAUGGCAGGUCAGCAUACUGCCGUGAAUACGUUCCCGGGCCUUGUACACACCGCCCGUCACACCAUGAGAGUUGGGGAUACCCGAAGCCUGUGAGCCAACUAUAUAGAGGCAGCAGUCGAAGGUAGAAUCAAUGAUUGGGGUGAAGUCGUAACAAGGUAGC
rnacentral:rRNA from 1 species